AUUGAGUUUGAUCCUGGCUCAGGACGAACGCUGGCGGCGUGCUUAACACAUGCAAGUCGAACGAUGAACCACUUCGGUGGGGAUUAGUGGCGAACGGGUGAGUAACACGUGGGCAAUCUGCCCUUCACUCUGGGACAAGCCCUGGAAACGGGGUCUAAUACCGGAUACGAGCUUCCUCCGCAUGGUGGAAGUUGGAAAGCUCCGGCGGUGAAGGAUGAGCCCGCGGCCUAUCAGCUUGUUGGUGAGGUAACGGCUCACCAAGGCGACGACGGGUAGCCGGCCUGAGAGGGCGACCGGCCACACUGGGACUGAGACACGGCCCAGACUCCUACGGGAGGCAGCAGUGGGGAAUAUUGCACAAUGGGCGAAAGCCUGAUGCAGCGACGCCGCGUGAGGGAUGACGGCCUUCGGGUUGUAAACCUCUUUCAGCAGGGAAGAAGCGAAAGUGACGGUACCUGCAGAAGAAGCGCCGGCUAACUACGUGCCAGCAGCCGCGGUA
rnacentral:rRNA from 1 species